UGGGAAUUUUGGACAAUGGGCGAAGCCUGAUCCAGCAAUGCCGCGUGUGUGAAGAAGGCCUUCGGGUUGUAAAGCACUUUUGUCCGGAAAGAAAUCCUUGGCUCUAAUACAGUCGGGGGAUGACGGUACCGGAAGAAUAAGCACCGGCUAACUACGUGCCAGCAGCCGCGGUAAUACGUAGGGUGCAAGCGUUAAUCGGAAUUACUGGGCGUAAAGCGUGCGCAGGCGGUUUGCUAAGACCGAUGUGAAAUCCCCGGGCUCAACCUGGGAACUGCAUUGGUGACUGGCAGGCUAGAGUAUGGCAGAGGGGGGUAGAAUUCCACGUGUAGCAGUGAAAUGCGUAGAGAUGUGGAGAAUACCGAUGGCGAAGGCAGCCCCCUGGGCCAAUACUGACGCUCAUGCACGAAAGCGUGGGGAGCAAACAGGAUUAGAUAUCCUGGUAGUCCACGCCCUAAACGAUGUCAACUAGUUGUUGGGGAUUCAUUUCCUUAGUAACGUAGCUAACGCGUGAAGUUGACCGCCUGGGGAGUACGUCGCAAGAUUAAAACUUAAAUGAAUUGACGGGGUC
rnacentral:rRNA from 1 species